rnacentral:lncRNA from 1 species
UAAUUAAUUAUUGAUUUCUUAGUGCUCUCAUUUUUAUUCUGAUUGCUUAGUUGACUGACCUAUGUCACUAACUUGAAAGGAAGAAUAUGUGCUUAUGUUGGGAAAAUAAAAACUUUGGUUGAUAAAUCUCUUAUGCAAUUCAACUAGCCAUAUGUUUCUGGCUAAUGGCUUAGUAUGAAAAACUAGGACUUGGGAGCAAAAAAUCAGUUGCCUAUAAGUUGUCUGUGAUGACUGAUAUAGUUUAGGCUUAAAAUGUGAGGUUGCAGAGAAAUUUUCUUACACUUUCCUCCCAUUCUUUUUUCACUUUAUUUUUUCACUAUCAUCUGCUGAAUUAUGUGUGAAUGUGCAUUGUGUACGCAUUACGUGGAAAAAGAAAUUGUUGAUAAUCUAUCGAGUCUAUCAUACUCAAGUACACCUUAUGAAGUUUCUUAUGUUUUCAUGCCAUUCUUCGCAAUCCCGACUCAAUUUGUGUUUUACAAAAAUCAAUGCAUGUCCUAUACCUAAAACGUGAAGAUUUGCUCUUUUAUUAUAUGUUCUUGUCACAUAUUGACCAUCUAAGAGAAAAUGUUCAACAUUUCAUGUAUAUGGCUUUU